GAACUGAAGAGUUUGAUCAUGGCUCAGAUUGAACGCUGGCGGCAGGCCUAACACAUGCAAGUCGAGCGGAUGAUGGGAGCUUGCUCCUGGAUUCAGCGGCGGACGGGUGAGUAAUGCCUAGGAAUCUGCCUGGUAGUGGGGGACAACGUUUCGAAAGGAACGCUAAUACCGCAUACGUCC
rnacentral:rRNA from 1 species